UAGCCGCAAUAUUUUGUGCCAAGGUAGCAUAAUCAUUAGUCUAAUAAUUUUAGAAUAGAAUGAAAGACUUCACAAAUUAAAUUUGUUUCCAUAAUAUCUCACCAAAUUUAUCUUAAAGUAAAAAACUUUAAUUCCUAAGAAAGACAACAAGACCCUAUAAAUUUUACUUAAAGUUUUGCUAGGAUGGCAUAAUAAAUCAACCUUACUCAUAAUUUCACUAAUCUUAUAUUUAUAAAACUUAGAACAAAUUACUAUAGGGAUAACAGCAUAAUCUUUUUUUAAAGUUCUUAUAAACAAAGAUAUUGUGACCUCGAUGUUGAAUUAAUUCUCCCGUGAAAGUAACCUUUUACAAAGAAAGUCUGUUCGACUUUUAAUUUUUUACA
rnacentral:rRNA from 1 species